AUUGAACGCUGGCGGCAGGCCUAACACAUGCAAGUCGAGCGAGCGGCGGACGGGUGAGUAAUGCCUAGGAAUCUGCCUGGUAGUGGGGGAUAACGUCCGGAAACGGUGGCUAAUACCGCAUACUAUCGGAUGAACCCAUAUGGGCUUAGCUAGUAGGUUGGGGAAAGGCUCACCUAGGCGACGAUCCCUAGCUGGUCUGAGAGGCUGAUCAGCCACACUGGGACUGAGACACGGCCCAGACUCCUACGGGAGGCAGCAGUGGGGAAUAUUGCACAAUGGGCGCAAGCCUGAUGCAGCCAUGCCGCGUGUAUGAAGAGGGCCUUAGGGUUGUAAAGUACUUUCAGCGGGGAUGCGUUACCCGAAGAAUAAGCACCGGCUAACUCCGUGCCAGCAGCCGCGGUAAUAC
rnacentral:rRNA from 1 species